UACGAAGGUGGCAAGCGUUGCUCGGAUUUACUGGGCGUACAGGGAGCGUAGGCGGUUGGAUAAGCCCUCCGUGAAAUCUCCAGGCUUAACCUGGAAAGUGCAGAGGGGACUGUUCAGCUAGAGGAUGGGAGAGGAGCGCGGAAUUCCCGGUGUAGCGGUGAAAUGCGUAGAGAUCGGGAGGAAGGCCGGUGGCGAAGGCGGCGCUCUGGAACAUUUCUGACGCUGAGGCUCGAAAGCGUGGGGAGCAAACAGG
rnacentral:rRNA from 1 species